AUGCGAAUGUGCCUUCGGGAACUGUGAGACAGGUGCUGCAUGGCUGUCGUCAGCUCGUGUUGUGAAAUGUUGGGUUAAGUCCCGCAACGAGCGCAACCCUUAUCCUUUGUUGCCAGCGAUUAGGUCGGGAACUCAAAGGAGACUGCCAGUGAUAAACUGGAGGAAGGUGGGGAUGACGUCAAGUCAUCAUGGCCCUUACGACCAGGGCUACACACGUGCUACAAUGGCGCAUACAAAGAGAAGCGACCUCGCGAGAGCAAGCGGACCUCAUAAAGUGCGUCGUAGUCCGGAUUGGAGUCUGCAACUCGACUCCAUGAAGUCGGAAUCGCUAGUAAUCGUGGAUCAGAAUGCCACGGUGAAUACGUUCCCGGGCCUUGUACACACCGCCCGUCACACCAUGGGAGUGGGUUGCAAAAGAAGUAGGUAGCUUAACCUUCGGGAGGGCGCUUACCACUUUGUGAUUCAUGACUGGGGUGAAGUCGUAACAAGGUAACCGUAGGGGAACCUGCGGUUGGA
rnacentral:rRNA from 1 species